rnacentral:rRNA from 1 species
CAGUAGCCGCGGUAAUACGUAGGGUGCAAGCGUUAAUCGGAAUUACUGGGCGUAAAGCGUGCGCAGGCGGUUAUAUAAGACAGAUGUGAAAUCCCCGGGCUCAACCUGGGAACUGCAUUUGUGACUGUAUAGCUAGAGUACGGCAGAGGGGGAUGGAAUUCCGCGUGUAGCAGUGAAAUGCGUAGAUAUGCGGAGGAACACCGAUGGCGAAGGCAAUCCCCUGGGCCUGCACUGACGCUCAUGCACGAAAGCGUGGGGAGCAAACAGGAUUAGAGACCCCCGUAGUCCCUGUCUCUUAUAC